rnacentral:rRNA from 1 species
GACAGAGGGUGCAAACGUUGUUCGGAAUUACUGGGCGUAAAGAGCUCGUAGGCGGUUUGUCGCGUCUGCUGUGAAAACCUAAGGCUCAACCUUGGGCUUGCAGUGGGUACGGGCAGACUAGAGUGCGGUAGGGGUGACUGGAAUUCCUGGUGUAGCGGUGGAAUGCGCAGAUAUCAGGAGGAACACCGGUGGCGAAGGCGGGUCUCUGGGCAGUAACUGACGCUGAGGAGCGAAAGCGUGGGGAGCGAACAGG